rnacentral:rRNA from 1 species
AUGGACGAAAGUCUGAACCAGCCAUGCCGCGUGGAGGAUGAAGGUCCUCUGGAUUGUAAACUUCUUUUAUAUGGGACGAAAAAAGGGCUUUCUAGCUCGUCUGACGGUACCAUAUGAAUAAGCACCGGCUAACUCCGUGCCAGCAGCCGCGGUAAU